rnacentral:rRNA from 1 species
GAUCAUGGCUCAGGAUGAACGCUAGCUACAGGCUUAACACAUGCAAGUCGAGGGGAAACGACAUCGAAAGCUUGCUUUUGAUGGGCGUCGACCGGCGCACGGGUGAGUAACGCGUAUGCGACCUGCCCGCGGCCGGGGGAUAAUCCAUAGAAAUGUGGUCUAAUACCCCAUAUGCCGGUUCUCUGCAUGGAGGACCGGUGAAAGGAGAGAUCCGGGCGCGGAUGGGCAUGCGUCUGAUUAGCUGGUUGGCGGGGCAACGGCCCACCAAGGCGACGAUGCGUAGGGGUUCUGAGAGGAAGGUCCCCCACACUGGUACUGAGACACGGACCAGACUCCUACGGGAGGCAGCAGUGAGGAAUAUUGGUCAAUGGGCGCAGGCCUGAACCAGCCAAGUCGCGUGAGGGAUGACGGUCCUACGGAUUGUAAACCUCUUUUGUCGGGGAGUAACGUGCGGGACGCGUCCCGUAUUGAGAGUACCCGAAGAAAAAGCAUCGGCUAACUCCGUG